UACGUAGGAUCCGAGCGUUGUCCGGAUUUACUGGGUGUAAAGGGUGCGCAGGCGGAUUGGUAAGUCAGUGGUGAAAUCUCGUCGCUUAACGACGAAACUGCCUUUGAUACUAUCAGUCUUGAAUCCGGUAGAGAUCUGUGGAAUUCCGAGUGUAGCAGUGAAAUGUGUAGAUAUUCGGAAGAACACCAGUGGCGAAGGCAGCAGAUUGGGCCGGUAUUGACGCUGAGGCGCGAAAGCCAGGGGAGCAAACGGG
rnacentral:rRNA from 1 species